rnacentral:rRNA from 1 species
CUAAUACAUGCAAGUCGAGCGAGCGGAACCAACAGAUUUACUUCGGUAAUGACGUUGGGAAAGCGAGCGGCGGAUGGGUGAGUAACACGUGGGGAACCUGCCCCUAAGUCUGGGAUACCAUUUGGAAACAGGUGCUAAUACCGGAUAAUAAAGCAGAUCGCAUGAUCAGCUUUUGAAAGGCGGCGUAAGCUGUCGCUAAGGGAUGGCCCCGCGGUGCAUUAGCUAGUUGGUAAGGUAACGGCUUACCAAGGCGACGAUGCAUAGCCGAGUUGAGAGACUGAUCGGCCACAUUGGGACUGAGACACGGGCCAAACUCCUACGGGAGGCAGCAGUAGGGAAUCUUCCACAAUGGACGCAAGUCUGAUGGAGCAACGCCGCGUGAGUGAAGAAAGGGUUUCGGGAAUCGUAAAGCUCUGUUGGUUGGGUGAAAGAAAGGGAUAGAGGUAGUAACUGGCCUUUAUUUGACCGGUAAUCAAACCAGAAAGUCACCGGCUAACUACGUGCCAGCAGCCGCGGUAAUACGUAGGUGGCAAGCGUUGUCCGGAUUUAUUGGGCGUAAAGCGAGCGCAGGCGGAAAAAUAAGUCUAAUGUGAAAGCCCUCGGCUUAACCGAGG